AUUGAACGCUGGCGGCAGGCCUAACACAUGCAAGUCGAGCGGUAGCACAGAGAGCUUGCUCUCGGGUGACGAGCGGCGGACGGGUGAGUAAUGUCUGGGAAACUGCCUGAUGGAGGGGGAUAACUACUGGAAACGGUAGCUAAUACCGCAUAACGUCGCAAGACCAAAGUGGGGGACCUUCGGGCCUCAUGCCAUCAGAUGUGCCCAGAUGGGAUUAGCUAGUAGGUGGGGUAACGGCUCACCUAGGCGACGAUCCCUAGCUGGUCUGAGAGGAUGACCAGCCACACUGGAACUGAGACACGGUCCAGACUCCUACGGGAGGCAGCAGUGGGGAAUAUUGCACAAUGGGCGCAAGCCUGAUGCAGCCAUGCCGCGUGUGUGAAGAAGGCCUUCGGGUUGUAAAGCACUUUCAGCGGGGAGGAAGGCGAUAAGGUUAAUAACCUCAUCGAUUGACGUUACCCGCAGAAGAAGCACCGGCUAACUCCGUGCCAGCAGCCGCGGUAAUACGGAGGGUGCAAGCGUUAAUCGGAAUUACUGGGCGUAAAGCGCACGCAGGCGGUCUGUCAAGUCGGAUGUGAAAUCCCCGGGCUCAACCUGGGAACUGCAUUCGAAACUGGCAGGCUAGAGUCUUGUAGAGGGGGGUAGAAUUCCAGGUGUAGCGGUGAAAUGCGUAGAGAUCUGGAGGAAUACCGGUGGCGAAGGCGGCCCCCUGGACAAAGACUGACGCUCAGGUGCGAAAGCGUGGGGAGCAAACAGGAUUAGAUACCCUGGUAGUCCACGCCGUAAACGAUGUCGAUUUGGAGGUUGUGCCCUUGAGGCGUGGCUUCCGGAGCUAACGCGUUAAAUCGACCGCCUGGGGAGUACGGCCGCAAGGUUAAAACUCAAAUGAAUUGACGGGGGCCCGCACAAGCGGUGGAGCAUGUGGUUUAAUUCGAUGCAACGCGAAGAACCUUACCUGGUCUUGACAUCCACAGAACUUAGCAGAGAUGCUUUGGUGCCUUCGGGAACUGUGAGACAGGUGCUGCAUGGCUGUCGUCAGCUCGUGUUGUGAAAUGUUGGGUUAAGUCCCGCAACGAGCGCAACCCUUAUCCUUUGUUGCCAGCGGUUAGGCCGGGAACUCAAAGGAGACUGCCAGUGAUAAACUGGAGGAAGGUGGGGAUGACGUCAAGUCAUCAUGGCCCUUACGACCAGGGCUACACACGUGCUACAAUGGCAUAUACAAAGAGAAGCGACCUCGCGAGAGCAAGCGGACCUCAUAAAGUAUGUCGUAGUCCGGAUUGGAGUCUGCAACUCGACUCCAUGAAGUCGGAAUCGCUAGUAAUCGUGGAUCAGAAUGCCACGGUGAAUACGUUCCCGGGCCUUGUACACACCGCCCGUCACACCAUGGGAGUGGGUUGCAAAAGAAGUAGGUAGCUUAACCUUCGGGAGGGCGCUUACCACUUUGUGAUUCAUGACUGGGGUGA
rnacentral:rRNA from 1 species